AACCUACUCCCUCCGUCUCAAAAUUCUUGUCUUAGAUUUGUCUAAAUACGGAUGUAUCUAACAUUAAAACAUAACUAGUUACAUUCGUAUUUAGACAAAUUUAAGACAAAAUUUUAGGACGGAGGGAGUACUUG
rfam:Triticum aestivum genome assembly, contig: Triticum_aestivum_CS42_TGACv1_scaffold_604624_7DL